rnacentral:rRNA from 1 species
GACGAACGCUGGCGGCGUGCUUAACACAUGCAAGUCGAACGGUGAAGCCCUUCGGGGUGGAUCAGUGGCGAACGGGUGAGUAACACGUGAGCAACCUGCCCCUGGCUCUGGGACAACCACUGGAAACGGUGGCUAAUACCGGAUACGACCCGCCUCGGCAUCGAGUGUGGGUGGAAAGUUUUUCGGCUGGGGAUGGGCCCGCGGCCUAUCAGCUUGUUGGUGAGGUGAAGGCUCACCAAGGCGACGACGGGUAGCCGGCCUGUGAGGGCGACCGGCCACACUGGGACUGAGAGACGGCCCAGACUCCUACGGGAGGCAGCAGUGGGGAAUAUUGCACAAUGGGCGAAAGCCUGAUGCAGCGACGCCGCGUGAGGGAUGACGGCCUUCGGGUUGUAAACCUCUUUCAGCUCCGAAGAAGCGAAAGUGACGGUAGGAGCAGAAGAAGCACCGGCUAACUACGUG